rnacentral:rRNA from 1 species
GACGAACGCUGGCGGCGUGCCUAAUACAUGCAAGUAGAACGCACAGUUUAUACCGUAGCUUGCUACAUCAUAGACUGUGAGUUGCGAACGGGUGAGUAACGCGUAGGUAACCUGCCUGGUAGCGGGGGAUAACUAUUGGAAACGAUAGCUAAUACCGCAUAAUAUUGAUUAUUGCAUGAUAAUUAAUUGAAAGGUGCAAUUGCACCACUACCAGAUGGACCUGCGUUGUAUUAGCUAGUAGGUGAGGUAACGGCUCACCUAGGCGACGAUACAUAGCCGACCUGAGAGGGUGAUCGGCCACACUGGGACUGAGACACGGCCCAGACUCCUACGGGAGGCAGCAGUAGGGAAUCUUCGGCAAUGGACGAAAGUCUGACCGAGCAACGCCGCGUGAGUGAAGAAGGUUGUCGGAUCGUAAAGCUCUGUUGUAAGAGAAGAACGGGUGUGAGAGUGGAAAGUUCACACUGUGACGGUAUCUUACCAGAAAGGGACGGCUAACUACGUG